CCCCAACGACCUUUUACUGAAAUCCACAAAGCAGUGGAGAGUGAGAUGAAACAGUGGUCUCCUGAACAAGGAAUCAGGGCAAUGGUAAAGCGGUAAGGGAUGUCAGAGGAGUGCGGCCUUGUUACAGAGACGAUGUUGCUAAUAUAAUGAGGGAUAUGGAUGCAAGUGGUCUUCAGAGGAGAUCUCCUGGAAAGAAGAAAAUUCCCCGUCGGAAUUACAUCAGCCGUGGUCCAAAUGACACCUGGCACAUUGAUGGCAAUGAUAACUGAAGUUCUUUGGAAUGUGGAUACAUUUGGGAUUGAUGGGUAG